GUCUCGUCUCCAAAACACGCCCCUUUACAAAAUCAUGAUCCGCUCUUGCAUCCUCCUGUGUCUGGCCAGUUUUGCCUUUGCAACCUUUGUCGGCUUUCCCUUCGGCCACCCACUGGCCACGCCAGCAUAUUCCGUUUACCACAAUCAACUGGCAACGACAUCUACUGUGCAUCACCUCCCGGCUUUUCAUCGCGGCCUCAGAUACGGAGUGCCAGCUUUCGGCGUCUACUUUGGGUAGCUGAAGUCUAAGCCACGUAUGCGGUGCUCGUGUUCUCGGCCACCCAGUGCUCCUCUGAAAGACAAAAAUCUAUUCAACGAAGAUAACCACUGUGAUUAAAGUGUUACAAGAAGAAACACUUUAUAUUAAAAUGUCUUCGUACUGAUC